rnacentral:rRNA from 1 species
UACGUAGGUGGCAAGCGUUGUCCGGAUUUAUUGGGCGUAAAGAGCGUGUAGGCGGCCAGACAGGUCCGCUGUGAAAACUCGAGGCUCAACCUCGAGAUGUCGGUGGAAACCGUCUGGCUAGAGUCCGGAAGAGGAGAGUGGAAUUCCCGUGUGAGCGGUGAAAUGCGCAGAUAUCAGGAAGGAACACCCGUGGCGAAGGCGGCGUCUCUGGGCGA